rnacentral:tRNA from 1 species
GAAGGUAUGGCUCAAGUGGUAGAGCACGUGCUUAGCAUGCAUGAGGCCCUGGGUUCAAUCCCCAGUAACUCUU